GCGUGAGCCACCGCGCCCGGCCCCAAUGUGUAGUCUUUUAUCCCUCACUCAUCCUUACCCCUGAGUCCUCAAAGUCCAUUGUGUCAUUCUUAUGCAUUUGGGUCCUUAUAGCUUAGCUCCCACUUAUGAGUGAGAACACAUGCUGUUUGGCUUUCUAUUCCUGAGUUACUUCACUUAGAAUAAUGGUCUCCAAUUCCAUCUUGAUGCAUUAUUUUGUUCCUUUUAUGGCUGAGUAGUAUUCCUUUUUCUUUAUCAACUUGGUGAUUGAUGGGCAUUUGGGCUGGUUCUAUAUUUUUGCAAUGGUGAAUUGUGCUGCUAUAAACAUGCCUGUGCAAGUAUCCUCUUUGUAUAAUGACUUCCUUUCCUCUGGGUAGAUACCCAGGAGUGGAAUUGCUGGAUCAAAUGGUAGACCCAAUUUUAUAGUAGUUCUUUAAGGAAUUUCCACACUGUUUUUCAUAGGAUUGUUCUAGUUUACAUUCCCACCAACAGUGCAAAAGUGUUUCCUUUCACCACAUCCAUGCAACAUCUAUUUUUUUGUUUUAUUUUUUGAUUAUGGCCAUUCUUGCAAGAGUAAGGUGGCAUUGCAUUGUGGUUUUGAUUUGCAUUUCCCUGAUCAUUAGUGAUAUUUAGCAUUUUUUCAUAUGUUUGUUGGCCAUUUGUAUAUCCUCUUUUGAAAAUUGUCUAUUCAUGUCCUUAGCCCACUUUUUGAUGGAAUUGCUUGUUUUUUUUGUUUUGUUUUGAGUUUUUUGUUGUUGUUUUGUUUUUUGGUUCUUUUUUUGACAGUUUGACUUCCUCUUUAUUGAUAAUGAAAGAAAUGAAAAUUAAGAAGACAAUAUCAACUUGACUUUUCAAUAGCAAAAUAAAGCAGACUGGCCAUAUCAAGUGUUGGAUGGAGUGUGUAUCCAGGAUUUUCUUUUACUUUGAUGGUAGAAAUAUAAACUGGUACAACUGCGUUGGAAAACAAUAUACAGCUGACAUUUGCAUUCUUUAAAAUCUAGCAAUUCUACUCCAAGUUCAAUUCAAGGAAAAGCUUAGUACAUGUGUCCCCCAAAACAUGUACACAAUAGCACUGAUCAUAAAGGAACAAAAUGGAAAUAAUACAAAAACAUAUAGACAGAAAAUAUAUAAAUUAUGGUAUCUUUUCACAAUAGAGUAUGUUUAGCUACAUGCAACAACAUGGAUAAACAUUAGUAUCAUUUUGCUGAAUCAAUAAAGUAAGUCUCAAAAGACAACAUACAGUUUGAUAUUCUUGUUUGAUAUUCUUGUUUUGAAACUCACAACCUGGUAAAACUAAACAAUAUUUUUUAGGCAUCAAAUGUAUGCAGUAACUCACCUACAUAAAGAACAAGGAGGAAAUAGAUAUAAAAUUCAGGUAUUGGUUAUUUUUGGAGAAAUGGCAGGGAUGUGGGAUUGGGAGAAGUGCUUAGGAAAAAGUAUUUUUGGUAGAAUAUUCUAGCUCUUGGAUUAGAUAGUGCUUUGGGGGUUGUUGAUUAUAGAAUUAAGAAUAAGUACAUUAGAAAACCAACUAUAUAAUAAGUACAUUAGAAACAAACUAUAUAAUAAGUACAUUAGAAAACCCACAAACUAUAUAAAGAAAGUUCCUACAUCUAAGAGGAUGAUGAUGUGUUGUGAAUGAAGGAUUAUGACCAAUCCAAUUCAUGAGGUCUAGUAAAUAAAUAAGUAAACAAUAAAUGAUAAGCAUUUAUAUUAGAAAUGGCUUUGAAUAAAGGAAAAGGUAGUGUCCACAAAACCCACUGGAAGCUCUGAAUUGAGGAGCUCUCAGUUCUUCUUCAUGGGUAGGACUGCCUAGAAGUGAUAAGCAGUCAAUAGUGAUUGCUCUAACUACACCACUAAACAAGAGAGUUUGACUCAUCUCUUUAAUCAAACAUUACAUUCAGAAUAGUAUGUAGUGAUUCUGCAACUGGGAAAAUGGGACUAGUUAAACAAUUAAUCAUCAUUAAUCAUCAUUUUAGUGUUAAUCAUUUUACCUAACUUUUCUUCAAUUUAAAGAAAUCUUAAGAUUUCUUUAAAUCCAAUGACCAAUAACUAAACAUAUAAACUUUUAAACAAAACAGCACACCCUUUCAUGAUUGUCUAAUAAAAUUUGAGAUUGACAGAUGAUGCCCAUAUAAGAUAUUACCACACACACAGCCACACCCACACACACACAUACACAUCGGAUAAAGUAGCAAAAUUUUUAAGAUCACAUGAAACCAAUACCACUCAUAUAAAGAGGGCAAGAAAAACAAUUAAAACCUUAAUGUUGGAUGGAGCUGUGGCCCAUAUUUUUAAAGUUGAUGUUAGUUUAGCCAUGAAGGUGUAAAAUACAGAAAGAAAGUGGGUGAAAAAGACAUAAUCAGAUUACAGAUAUGUUUAUAUCUAUAAAGCAUGGCGUGAGCUAAGAUUGAAUUGUAUAAAAUACAUAUUAGAAAUUAUUUCAGUAAAGGCCAUCGACUUGAAGUCAUUCUGUGAUGGCAGCUUAUCAGAAAAAAAUCAUGGGUCCCUAAUGAGAUGUUCCCUUAACAUUGACUAAAUGACAUUAAAUACACUUUGAUUUAUUAUUUGAAACAAGUAGUAUAGGAUUUUAUUACAGGAUUCUAAUGUGUAUGAAGGAUCACAUGACUUAUGAAAAGUAUUUCUUUAUUUUAUUUUAUUUUAUUUAUUUUAUUUUAUUUUAUUUUUUAUUUUGAGACAGAGUCUCACUCUGUUGCCCAGGCUGGAGUGCAGUGGCGCGAUGUCAGCUUACUGCAACCUCUGCCUCCCAGGUUCAAGUAAUUCUCAUGCUUCAGACCUGAGUAGCAGAGAUUACAGGCAUGUGCCCCCACGCCUGGCUUUUGUAUUUUUAGUAUAGACAGGUUUUUGACAUGUUGGCCAGGCUGGUCUCGAAUUCCUGACCUCAAGUGAUCCACCUGCUUUGGCCUCUCAAAGUGCUGGGAUUACAGGCAUGAGCCACCGCACCAGGCCAGGAGAUAUUAUUUCUUUAUCACCUUGUCCUCUGCUCUGUCCCCAUUCCAUGAGAAAUAUUCCCAUGUUUAGUCUGACUCAGGGCUGGGCUGUGUUUCUCCUACCACAGGUCUUUACAUCAGUAUGGAGUCCUGCUGCGUUCUCAGACAUUUCCUCUGAGGCACUGUAACAGGAAUGAAGGGAAAAAGAUACUAAGGUCAUACAAAUUCACAUGUCAUUGAAGGUACUUGAUUGUUUAAAACACAGGAAGUUUGCAUCCCACUGAAAAGUGUUAUUCAUUGAAAUAACAUUUUACAUUAUGUAUCUUCAGAAAGAACAAAAUAAAUCAAAACUAAAUUUUUUUGUUGGAUAACAGAUGAACAGUGGUUGAUUUCAUCAAAUGUAAUUUUUCAAAGACAAUGCAUUUCAAUGCAAGUUGUACUUGCACUUUCAGAAAAUCAUACCUUUAUACACAGAGCUAAUUCUGAGUAACAAGUCAGUAAUCCAGAUUGAUUCUGUUCCAUCUUGGUGUCACGCGUUUUGAGAACCCUAAUUCGCAUAAUAGGUAAUAUGAAUUGCCUA
rnacentral:lncRNA from 1 species